rnacentral:rRNA from 1 species
ACUCCUACGGGAGGCAGCAGUGGGGAAUAUUGCACAAUGGGCGCAAGCCUGAUGCAGCCAUGCCGCGUGUGUGAAGAAGGCCUUCGGGUUGUAAAGUACUUUCAGCAGUGAGGAAGGCGGAGUCGUUAAUAGCGGCCUCGUUUGACGUUAGCUGCAGAAGAAGCACCGGCUAACUCCGUGCCAGCAGCCGCGGUAAUACGGAGGGUGCGAGCGUUAAUCGGAAUUACUGGGCGUAAAGCGCAUGCAGGUGGUUUGUUAAGUCAGAUGUGAAAGCCCGGGGCUCAACCUCGGAAUUGCAUUUGAAACUGGCAGACUAGAGUACUGUAGAGGGGGGUAGAAUUUCAGGUGUAGCGGUGAAAUGCGUAGAGAUCUGAAGGAAUACCGGUGGCGAAGGCGGCCCCCUGGACAGAUACUGACACUCAGAUGCGAAAGCGUGGGGAGCAAACAGGAUUAGAUACCCUGGUAGGAUAGCG